rnacentral:rRNA from 1 species
AACGGGUGAGUAACAUAUCGGAACAUACCGUAGAGUGGGGGAUAACGUAGCGAAAGUUACGCUAAUACCGCAUACGCACUAAGGUGGAAAGUGGGGGAUCUUCGGACCUCAUGCUCAUGGAGUGGCCGAUAUCUGAUUAGCUAGUUGGUGAGGUAAAGGCUCACCAAGGCGACGAUCAGUAGCUGGUUUGAGAGAACGACCAGCCACACUGGAACUGAGACACGGUCCAGACUCCUACGGGAGGCAGCAGUGGGGAAUUUUGGACAAUGGGCGCAAGCCUGAUCCAGCAAUGCCGCGUGCAGGAUGAAGGCCUUCGGGUUGUAAACUGCUUUUGUACGGAACGAAACGGUGAGCUCUAAUACAGUUUGCUAAUGACGGUACCGUAAGAAUAAGCACCGGCUAACUACGUG